GACGAACCGUCCAAACGUUAUUCGGAAUCACUGGGCUUAAAGGGUGCGUAGGCGGUCCGGCAAGUUGGGCGUGAAAGCCCUCGGCUCAACCGAGGAACUGCGUUCAAAACUGCCGGGCUCGAGGGAGACAUAGGUGAGCGGAACUUAGGGUGGAGCGGUGAAAUGCGUUGAGAUCCUAAGGAACACCAGUAGCGAAAGCGGCUCACUGGGUCUCUUCUGACGCUGAGUGCACGAAAGCUAGGGGAGCGAAGAGGAUUAGAUACCCUCGUAGUCCUAGCCGUAAACAAUGAGCACUGGUUUGGAGGGUCCUCCAUAGCCUUCCAGACGUAGCGAAAGUGUUAAGUGCUCCGCCUGGGGAGUAUGGUCGCAAGGCUGAA
rnacentral:rRNA from 1 species